UCCGGACCCCUGAAUAUGGAUGUCAAUAAGGAGGCCUCUGAAUCCCAGGGAGCCUCUGGGACCAACAAAGGAACUAUAAAAACUAGAUGGUGGUGUCUUACCGUAGCAGUGUCAAGGAGAGAAGUAUCAUUGGGCCUGUAUGCAAGUAUGCAAACUAUCCGCUGGAACCCGUGAAAUAUUGUAGCACUGGCCGUUACUACAUAAGUCAAAAUAAAUCCUCGGUCCCUUGGGAUGUUUCUGUAAAGCUCACUGUUACAGUACAUAAAAGAGAGAGGAUCUUGAGAAGAUGACCAACAAUACAAUAGAACAGAUUUGCAGAACCAUCUCACUGAGGCUGUCACUCAGGACAUCCAGAAAUAUCCAGCAUCUUCAAAUUUGCCUUCUAUAGAAAUUGCCUUCAAAACCAGGAAGACAAAUAUAGUACAUACUCACUCAUAGGUGGAUAUCAGACAUAAAGCAAAAGAUACUCUACAAUCCACAACCCCAGAGAAGCUAGAACCCUCUCCCAGAAACAGAUGGAAGCAGAUGCAGUAAUCUACAGCUAACUAUUGGGCCAAGCUCCUAGAGUUCAAUCGAAGUGAGGGGGGAGAGAAAAUGUGAACAAAGGAGUCAAGACCAUGAUGGGGGAAACCACAGAAUCAGCUGACCUGAACUAGUGAGAGAUCGCUGAAUCAGGUCUGACAAAUGGGGAACCAGCAUAAGACAGAACUAG